rnacentral:snRNA from 1 species
UACCUUGCGCAGUGACAAUAUCGUAACCAAUGAAGGCCUCCUGUGGUGCGAUUAUUGCUGGUUGAAAACUUUUACAAAUUCUUGAAGUGCAUGAAGACUCAUUUUGAACGACAAAUGUCCCAAAGUUAUCUUU